AUGGCCCCUCCUGAGGAUGCCAUCUCUUCCACGAGCGGCGGUACCUCGGCGGCGGCUAACCCUAACCUGGAAGAUUUCUUCGACCAGUUAGAUCUCAACGAGGAAGAGUUCAAUGAUGUGGAAAUUGACGAGGACGAUCCAGUGAUCAAGGAGAGUGUUCGCUGGCUUGCCCUCGCAAGGGUGCAUACCCAGAAGAUCUUCUCUCCCUCCGCCUUCUACAAGGACAUGAGGGCUGCUUGGAACCCUGCGCAGCUGGUAAGAUUCAGGCCCGUUGGCCCCAAUAGAUUUGUGGUUCAAGCAUCCUGCUUGGGAGAUUGGGAA
rnacentral:rRNA from 1 species